UGGGGAAUAUUGCACAAUGGGGGAAACCCUGAUGCAGCGACGCCGCGUGAACGAAGAAGGUAUUCGUAUCGUAAAGUUCUGUCCUAUGGGAAGAUAAUGACAGUACAUAGAAGAAAGCUCCGGCUAAAUACGUGCCAGCAGCCGCGGUAAUACGUAUGGAGCGAGCGUUGUCCGGAAUUAUUGGGCGUAAAGGGUACGCAGGCGGUUUAAUAAGUCGAAUGUUAAAGAUCGGGGCUCAACCCCGCAAAGCAUUGGAAACUGAUAAACUUGAGUAGUGGAGAGGAAAGUGGAAUUCCUAGUGUAGUGGUGAAAUACGUAGAUAUUAGGAGGAAUACCAGUAGCGAAGGCGACUUUCUGGACACAAACUGACGCUGAGGUACGAAAGCGUGGGGAGCAAACAGG
rnacentral:rRNA from 1 species